rfam:Brassica napus, WGS project CCCW01000000 data, contig: 4285
CGGCUGUGAUUAUAAACUUACCUGCGCUUCUGAGAUUGAUUUCAGUGAAGCAUAUACGGUAAAAACAUGGUUGAAUUCUUAAUAUGAGCCA